GAUGAACGCUGGCGGCGUGCCUAAUACAUGCAAGUCGAGCGAACAGACGAGGAGCUUGCUCCUCUGACGUUUGCGGCGGACGGGUGAGUAACACGUGGAUAACCUACCUAUAAGACUGGGAUAACUUCGGGAAACCGGAGCUAAUACCGGAUAAUAUAUUGAACCGCAUGGUUCAAUAGUGAAAGACGGUUUUGCUGUCACUUAUAGAUUGAUCCGCGCCGCAUUAGCUAGUUGGUAAGGUAACGGCUUACCAAGGCGACGAUGCGUAGCCGACCUGAGAGGGUGAUCGGCCACACUGGAACUGAGACACGGUCCAGACUCCUACGGGAGGCAGCAGUAGGGAAUCUUCCGCAAUGGGCGAAAGCCUGACGGAGCAACGCCGCGUGAGUGAUGAAGGUCUUCGGAUCGUAAAACUCUGUUAUUAGGGAAGAACAAAUGUGUAAGUAACUAUGCACGUCUUGACGGUACCUAAUCAGAAAGCCACGGCUAACUACGUG
rnacentral:rRNA from 1 species